GUUUUAUGGCUAUGCUUCACUAUUUUGUGCCUGCCUUAGCCUUACACGAAAUGCAUAUAUAUAAAGGGAGCUGCCAAUGGCAGUUACAAAGGGACAACUACAAAGGGGGAUCAUGUCUUCAGCCCACUCGCCCAUGAUCUUUGAUCAUGUCUUCAGUCACUUGCCCACGUUCUUGGCCAUGCCUUCAGCCACUUGCCCACGUUCUUGGCCAUGCCUUCAGCCAUUUGCCCAUGAUCUCGGCCAUGCCUUCAGCCACUUGCCCAUGAUCUCGGCCAUGCCUUCAGCCACUUGCCCACGUUCUUGAACCUGCCCAUGAUUCUCGGAUGUGGCUGCUUUGGAUGCAGCUUCAUCAUGUGCCGCGCCCCAGCUUUGUCAUGUGCCGCGCACACAGCUUCGUCACA
rnacentral:lncRNA from 1 species